rnacentral:rRNA from 1 species
UACGAAGGGGGCGAGCGUUAUUCGGAAUCACUGGGCGUAAAGCGUGCGUAGGCUGUUCAGAAAGUCAGGAGUGAAAGCCCAAGGCUCAACCUUGGAAGUGCUCUUGAAACUUCUGGACUAGAAUUCAGGAGAGGAUAGCGGAAUUCCCAGUGUAGCAGUGAAAUGCGUAGAUAUUGGGAAGAACACCAGUGGCGAAGGCGGUUGCCUGGAGCUUUGCUGACGCUGAGGCGCAAAAGCGUGGGGAGCGAUCCGG